rnacentral:rRNA from 1 species
GAUGAACGCUAGCUACAGGCUUAACACAUGCAAGUCGAGGGGCAGCAUGUCGGUUGCUCGCAACCGACGAUGGCGACCGGCGCACGGGUGAGUAACGCGUAUCCAACCUACCCUUGUCCAUCGGAUAACCCGUCGAAAGGCGGACUAACACGAUAUGCGGUUCUCAGCAGGCAUCUAACGAGAACGAAAUGUGAAGGAGAAGGAUGGGGAUGCGUCUGAUUGGCUUGUUGGCGGGGUAACGGCCCACCAAGGCGACGAUCAGUAGGGGUUCUGAGAGGAAGGUCCUCCAAAUUGGAACUGCGCAACGGUCCAAACUCCUACGGGAGGCAGCAGUGAGGAAUAUUGGUCAAUGGACGAGAGUCUGAACCAGCCCAGUAGCGUGCAGGAAGACGGCCCUAUGGGUUGUAAACUGCUUUUAUAGGGGGAUAAAGUGUGCCACGUGUGGCAUAUUGCAGGUACCCUAUGAAUAAGGACCGGCUAAUUCCGUGCCAGCCGCCGCGGUAACAC